GGGGCUAUUCAGUUCGCGAGAACAGAAGGGAUAAUACCUGCGCCAGAACCGACUCAUGCCAUUGCUGCAACCAUAAGAGAAGCUCUCCGAUGCAAAGAAACAGGAGAAGCAAAAGUGAUACUAAUGGCGAUGUGUGGACAUGGCCACUUUGACCUUACUUCUUACGACAAGUAUUUAAGAGGCGAAUUGAUAGAUUUAUCAUUUAGCGAAGAGAGGAUUCGAGAGUCUUUGUCUAAGGUUCCUCAUGUUGUUUAGCUCCAAAUUAUGCCCCAUGUUCCGAAACAGACGUGAAAUAAGUUGGGCCAAUUUCAUGGCCUUUCGAAUAAAGAGGAAACAUGAAUUUAAAUAAUGAACACAAUGUCUUUUCUUUUCUUUUUCAUCACCGGACAGACCACAAAUUACCACACACUUUUAAGAUGAUGAUUGUCCAAUAUACCUUUGAAUCACUACACUUUUGAUGAAGAUUUUGGAGCAACCAUGGCUUGUUUUCAGGCUGGUCUUAAUAGAGACAUUCAAGAUCGUCUAGAAAUGCAGAAUUAUGAUGACAUGGAUGAAUUGCUACACAAAAAUAUCCUUAUUGAUCAGCAGAAUGAAAGAAAAAUGUUUCCUCGAAACCCAUACGUUCAUCCUCUAAGCCAUCCUACGCAAAAGAAGAAAAUAACUUUGCCAAACCGAAAGAAGAACCAAAAACUUACGGAGUUGGCAGAGAUAAAAAAGGCUAGGACCAGUGAAUCGGUCUAGAGAUAUGAAGUGUUUUGAGUGUCACGGAAUUUGCCACUAUGCCAAUGAAUGUUCGAACAAGAAGGUGAUGAUCUUACUUCAAGUAUGAAGGUGGUAGCCCAGCUGGUUCACACAAACCAAACUCAGCAGUUCCACAAGCUUAUUACAAUGCUAAAGAAGGUGUCAAGAACCUUGUAACGGAAACCGGUGCUGGCCAAUGGGGCAGUUCUUUAGCCUUUGCUUCUAGUCUAUUUGGACUUAAUUGUGAAGUUAGAAAAAUAUUUGAUUCUUGCCGUGAUAUCUUGAAAAUUUAGUCCUUCUUGUUAAGUACUUGUUUCUUUUACGCUAUAGGUGUGGCAAGUGGCCAAUUCAUACCAUCAAAAGCCAUAUCGCAGGCUAAUGAUGCAAACUUGGGGGGCAAAGGUUCAUCCGUCACCAUCGGAUCUCACUGAAGCAGGUAGAAGAAUCCUUCAGGUCGAUCCAUCAAGCCCGGGAAGUUUAGGCAUUGCAAUAUCAGAAGCUGUUGAAGUGGCAGCAAGAAACGAGGAUACAAAAUACUGCUUAGGGAGUGUAUUGAACCAUGUGUUGUUACACCAGACGGUUAUUGGAGAAGAAUGCAUAAAGCAGAUGGAAGAUUUUGGCGAAACGCCUGAUGUGAUCAUAGGAUGUACUGGUGGAGGAUCAAAUUUUGCUGGUUUGAGUUUUCCGUAUAUCCGGGAGAAACUCAAAGGCAAAAUCAACCCUGUUAUAAGAGCUGUUGAGCCCUCAGCUUGUCCUUCCUUGACCAAAGGAGUUUAUGCUUAUGAUUUUGGCGAUACUGCUGGAUUGACUCCUUUGAUGAAGAUGCAUACUUUAGGGCAUGACUUCAUUCCUGAUCCUAUCCAUUCUGGUAACAAAUAAACCUUAAAAUCCAAAAUCUUAGACAUACUGAAGUGGAAGGCUUCUCCAGCUCACUGAUUCUUGAUUUCUUGAAUUCUUGAUUCUUGGUCUUACUUUCGGCUAAUUUGUUAUCUAUGGUUUUUAACAGGUGGAUUACGGUACCAUGGGAUGGCCCCAUUGAUCUCACAUGUUUAUGAACAAGGUUUCAUGGAAGCAAUCUCAAUUCCUCAAACUGAGUGUUUCCAAGGUAGUUCUUAGUCUAACCACAAUUUCUCAAUUUAGGUUUACUAACUUACUCCCUUUUAUAUUUUGCAAUGAAAUGUAAAUCCCAACUUUACCGUUGAAUUUUCUUGCAGGGGCUAUUCAGUUCGCGAGAACAGAAGGGAUAAUACCUGCGCCAGAACCGACUCAUGCCAUUGCUGCAACCAUAAGAGAAGCUCUCCGAUGCAAAGAAACAGGAGAAGCAAAAGUGAUACUAAUGGCGAUGUGUGGACAUGGCCACUUUGACCUUACUUCUUACGACAAGUAUUUAAGAGGCGAAUUGAUAGAUUUAUCAUUUAGCGAAGAGAGGAUUCGAGAGUCUUUGUCUAAGGUUCCUCAUGUUGUUUAGCUCCAAAUUAUGCCCCAUGUUCCGAAACAGAC
rnacentral:lncRNA from 1 species